rnacentral:rRNA from 1 species
CAACUUGAGAGUUUGAUCCUGGCUCAGAACGAACGCUGGCGGCAGGCCUAACACAUGCAAGUCGAGCGAGACCUUCGGGUCUAGCGGCGGACGGGUUAGUAACGCGUGGGAACGUGCCCUUCUCUGCGGAAUAGCCACUGGAAACGGUGAGUAAUACCGCAUACGCCCUUCGGGGGAAAGAUUUAUCGGAGAAGGAUCGGCCCGCGUUAGAUUAGAUAGUUGGUGGGGUAACGGCCUACCAAGUCUACGAUCUAUAGCUGGUUUUAGAGGAUGAUCAGCAACACUGGGACUGAGACACGGCCCAGACUCCUACGGGAGGCAGCAGUGGGGAAUCUUAGACAAUGGGCGCAAGCCUGAUCUAGCCAUGCCGCGUGUGUGAUGAAGGUCUUAGGAUCGUAAAGCACUUUCGCCAGGGAUGAUAAUGACAGUACCUGGUAAAGAAACCCCGGCUAACUCCGUGCCAGCAGCCGCGGUAAUACGGAGGGGGUUAGCGUUGUUCGGAAUUACUGGGCGUAAAGCG